rnacentral:rRNA from 1 species
UACAGAGGGUGCGAGCGUUGUUCGGAAUUACUGGGCGUAAAGGGCGCGUAGGCGGCCUGUUAAGUCGAACGUGAAAUCCCCGGGCUCAACCCGGGAACUGCGUCCGAUACUGGCAGGCUUGAAUCCGGGAGAGGGAUGCGGAAUUCCAGGUGUAGCGGUGAAAUUCGUAGAUAUUCGCAAGAACACCAGUGGCGAAGGCGGCUCACUGGCCCGGUACUGACGCUGAGGUGCGAAAGCGUGGGGAGCAAACAG